rnacentral:rRNA from 1 species
UACGUAGGGGGCAAGCGUUGUCCGGAUUUAUUGGGCGUAAAGAGCGUGUAGGCGGUUUGGUAGGUCCGCUGUGAAAACUCGAGGCUCAACCUCGGGACGGCGGUGGAAACCAUCAGGCUAGAGUCCGGAAGAGGAGAGUGGAAUUCCUGGUGUAGCGGUGAAAUGCGCAGAUAUCAGGAAGAACACCCGUGGCUAAGGCGGCUCUCUAGUACGGUACUGACGCUGAGACGCGAAAGCGUGGGGAGCGAACAGG